UACGGGGGGAGCAAGCGUUGUUCGGAUUUACUGGGCGUAAAGGGCGCGUAGGCGGCCAGCACAAGUCAGUUGUGAAAUCUCCGAGCUUAACUCGGAAAGGUCAACUGAUACUGUGCGGCUAGAGUGCGGAAGGGGCAACUGGAAUUCUUGGUGUAGCGGUGAAAUGCGUAGAUAUCAAGAGGAACACCUGCGGCGAAGGCGGGUUGCUGGGCCGACACUGACGCUGAUGCGCGAAAGCCAGGGGAGCGAACAGG
rnacentral:rRNA from 1 species